rnacentral:ncRNA from 1 species
GUCGUCUCGGCGCGGUUCCGAGCGGUCGCUCCCUCGCGAGGUGCCGCGGGUCAGCGGCUGACGCCAGCCACCUUCCCGACCCGUCUCUUGACCCGUCUUGAAACACGCUCCGGCGCCUAGUGCGGCAACUUGACCCGUCUUGAAACGGCGCUCCGGCGCCUAGUGCGGCAACGCAAACGAACUCGGAAACGCCGACGUGGGUCCCGGGAAGAGUUCUCUUUUCUUGGUAAGGGGCGGCGACCCUGGAAUCGGUUCGCCCGGAGAUAGGGACAUGGGCCCCGUAAAGCAGCACGUCUCUUGUGCUGUCCGGUGAGCUCGCGUCGGCCCUUGAAAAUCCGAGGGAGACGGUGUAAUUUUCGUGCGAGGUCGUACCCAUAUCCGCAGCAGGUCUCCAAGGUGAACAGCCUCUGGCCGAUAGAACAAUGUAGGUAAGGGAAGUCGGCAAACUAGAUCCGUAACUUCGGGAAAAGGAUUGGCUCUAGGGGCUGGGUCGGUCGGGCUGAGGUACGAAGCGGGGCGCGGCGCUGUACCGGACUGGGCGAACGACGGCCUCCCUCGCGGGGGGCUGGCGUGAGCCUGGACCUGUGUCGGCGUCUUCCCGUGGAAUGCCGCAGCUAACGCGGGCCUCGCGGCCCGCUUCGGCCGGCGUCGAACAGCCGACUUAGAACUGGUACGGACCGGGGAAUCCGAC